rnacentral:sRNA from 1 species
UUUCCCCUCCGGCCUCUGCCGGUGCUGCUGCGCCCCGCGGAGCUCCGAACACGUGCGCGUGAGGAGUCCCCUAGAGCCUGACUCCGAGAGCCUCGAUCUUCCAGGGCCAGGGGCAGGGACUUUGGAAGAGAGGCCGGCUGUGGCAGAUGCAACUGCAGGAUGACUUGAAAGUAGGGCAUCCUUCACCCAUCUGAAGGGAGGAAAUAGUGGCAGGUGACAGUCUGCAUGUGCAGUUUUCAGAUGCCUUCACCUGAAUGACAUCUACCUCCAUCAGGACCCCAGAUGUCUGAUAGCCCUGUGUGACACCAAGAUAAGUAAUAAUCUGUUUGGCUGCUGACUACCCUAUUGGACAACUCCAAUAUUAGAGAACAUUUCCACCAAUUCAGAAAGUUUAUUAUGCACUGCUGUUCUAGAGCAGGGAUCAGCAAACUUGCUGUAAAGAGCCAGG